rnacentral:sRNA from 1 species
AUGGACCACGUCCACGCCGGUAUUCGCUGUGCGGUCCACACCACCUGAGGGCUGCUCGCUACGUUUGGCUAGCC